GGAUGUGAGGGCGAUCUGGCUGCGACAUCUGUCACCCCAUUGAUCGCCAGGGUUGAUUUGGCUGAUCUGGCUGGCUAGGCGGGUGUUCCCUUCCUCCCUCACCGCUCCAUGUGCGUCCCUCCCGAAGCUGCGCGCUCGGUGGAAGAGGACGACCAUCCCAGAUAGAAGGAGUGUACCGUUCUUUGGCCAAGGGUAUACGAUAGCUGCGCUCCUCUGCUAGAACCUCCAAACAAGCUCAAGAAUGCAUAUACCAUGGAUAGGCAAACUAAGGCCCAAUCGCCUUCUCAGUCUGGCCCGCGGAUGGUCUGGGAAUCAGC